UGAGCUGUGCGCUACCUUAAAGUUGUCAGAAGAAAAGCAGAGAAGAUUACCAAACAUAAAUCGUUUUGAAUUUUCCCAAUCAACUCGAUGCAGCAUCUCAGUGUCAAAGUGAACAAGGUCGAAUAAAAUCUUCUCGUAGCAAACGAAACUGAACAUCAAGAUAGUCAUCCACACUGGAAGAUAACUGGCAAACAGUCUCGCCUGAAUCGCGACGAAUAAUAAAAUCCACUUUGUCGCCAAAACAGUUUCUGGUUCUGCAGUAUUUGGAUGCACGAAAAAACACUUGUAGGCCUAUUGCAUACAAAACAAAUAAUGGGUCAUUUUGCCUGUCUACCAGAAUGGCAGGAGAAAUGUCCACUGGUCUUAAUACCAACAUGUCUACC